GGGGGAUAACGUUCGGAAACGGACGCUAAUACCGCAUACGUCCUACGGGAGAAAGCAGGGGACCUUCGGGCCUUGCGCUAUCAGAUGAGCCUAGGUCGGAUUAGCUAGUUGGUGAGGUAAUGGCUCACCAAGGCGACGAUCCGUAACUGGUCUGAGAGGAUGAUCAGUCACACUGGAACUGAGACACGGUCCAGACUCCUACGGGAGGCAGCAGUGGGGAAUAUUGGACAAUGGGCGAAAGCCUGAUCCAGCCAUGCCGCGUGUGUGAAGAAGGUCUUCGGAUUGUAAAGCACUUUAAGUUGGGAGGAAGGGUUGUAGAUUAAUACUCUGCAAUUUUGACGUUACCGACAGAAUAAGCACCGGCUAACUCUGUGCCAGCAGCCGCGGUAAUACAGAGGGUGCAAGCGUUAAUCGGAAUUACUGGGCGUAAAGCGCGCGUAGGUGGUUUGUUAAGUUGGAUGUGAAAUCCCCGGGCUCAACCUGGGAACUGCAUUCAAAACUGACUGACUAGAGUAUGGUAGAGGGUGGUGGAAUUUCCUGUGUAGCGGUGAAAUGCGUAGAUAUAGGAAGGAACACCAGUGGCGAAGGCGACCACCUGGACUAAUACUGACACUGAGGUGCGAAAGCGUGGGGAGCAAACAGGAUUAGAUACCC
rnacentral:rRNA from 1 species